rnacentral:rRNA from 1 species
UUGAGGAAGUAAAAGUCGUAACAAGGUCUCCGUUGGUGAACCAGCGGAGGGAUCAUUACAGAGUUGCAAAACUCCCUAAACCAUUGUGAACGUUACCUAAACCGUUGCUUCGGCGGGCGGCGCCGGGGUUUACCCCCCGGGCGCCCCUGGGCCCCACCGCGGGCGCCCGCCGGAGGUCACCAAACUCUUGAUAAUUUAUGGCCUCUCUGAGUCUUCUGUACUGAAUAAGUCAAAACUUUCAACAACGGAUCUCUUGGUUCUGGCAUCGAUGAAGAACGCAGCGAAAUGCGAUAAGUAAUGUGAAUUGCAGAAUUCAGUGAAUCAUCGAAUCUUUGAACGCACAUUGCGCCCGCCAGUAUUCUGGCGGGCAUGCCUGUUCGAGCGUCAUUUCAACCAUCAAGCCCCGGGCUUGUGUUGGGGACCUGCGGCUGCCGCAGGCCCUGAAAAGCAGUGGCGGGCUCGCUGUCACACCGAGCGUAGUAGCAUACAUCUCGCUCUGGGCGUGCUGCGGGUUCCGGCCGUUAAACCACCUUUUAACCCAAGGUUGACCUCGGAUCAGGUAGGAAGACCCGCUGAACUUAAGCAUAUCAAUAAGCGGAGGAACCC